rnacentral:sRNA from 1 species
UUUAAUAGCAGCAGCUCGCUACUGCAUGUGAUGAUGAUACCACUUCACUGUUACGAGACUGUUAUUUGUUGGAAGAAAAGGAACGCCUCAAAGAAGAAUGGUCCCUUUUUAAAGAGCAGAAAAAGAAUUUUGAGAGGGAGAGACGAAGCUUUACAGAAGCCGCUAUUCGCCUGGGAUUGGAGAUUGGCUUUCUCCUGCUAAGUGUUUUACACAAGAAAUCUCUUUUGGGUAUCCAUCAUUCAUCCACUGUCAGUAGGUGUGGUGUCAGAAGACAGUGCAACCAAGACUACAUUUGCUGUUUAAAAAGGAAGUAUAAUAAAAAAUUAAGUUCUCUUCUCCCCAGUCCAUCAUUGUUAUAUAUUCGCUCUAUAGCGUGCUUUUUUUACUUAGCAAUGUGUCAUCUACAUAGUCCCCCUUCAAAAAUUGUAGCAGUAAUGUCUGAAUAAGGUUAAA